UACGUAGGGUGCAAGCGUUGUCCGGAAUUAUUGGGCGUAAAGAGCUUGUAGGCGGUUUGUCGCGUCUGCUGUGAAAUUUCGGGGCUCAACCCCGAACUUGCAGUGGGUACGGGCAGACUAGAGUGUGGUAGGGGAGACUGGAAUUCCUGGUGUAGCGGUGAAAUGCGCAGAUAUCAGGAGGAACACCGAUGGCGAGGGCAGGUCUCUGGGCCACUACUGACGCUGAGAAGCGAAAGCAUGGGGAGCGAACAGG
rnacentral:rRNA from 1 species